rnacentral:rRNA from 1 species
UACGUAGGGUCCGAGCGUUGUCCGGAAUUACUGGGCGUAAAGAGCUCGUAGGUGGUUUGUCGCGUUGUUCGUGAAAACUCACAGCUUAACUGUGGGCGUGCGGGCGAUACGGGCAGACUGGAGUACUGCAGGGGAGACUGGAAUUCCUGGUGUAGCGGUGAAAUGCGCAGAUAUCAGGAGGAACACCGGUGGCGAAGGCGGAUCUCUGGGCCAUUACUGACGCUGAGGAGCGAAAGCGUGGGGAGCGAACAGG